CGCGGGGGGUUAGUCGGGACCUAAGGCGAGGCUGAAAAGCGUAGUCGAUGGACAACAGGUUGAUAUUCCUGUACCGAUAUUUAAUUGCCGAAGGAAGGACGCAGAAGGAUAACACAGGCCACUAUUGGAUGUGGUUUUAAACAGUUAGUCUUCAUAAGAGUCAAAUGCUUUUAUGUUUAAGGAUAAGCUGUGAAUGUACCAAGUUUACUUGGAAAUUGUGUGAUUUCACGCUGCUGAAAAAAGUUUCGUAGGAAGAAAAUAUUGCCCGUACCGCAAACCGACACAGGUACUCAAGUGGAGAACACUAAGGUGAGCGAGUGAACUAUUGUUAAGGAACUCUGCAAAAUGAGUCCGUAACUUCGGAAGAAGGACUGCUGGUUUUAUACCAGCCGCAGCAAAUAGGCCCAAACAACUGUUUAUCAAAAACACAGGUUUCUGCAAAAUCGUAAGAUGAAGUAUAGGGGCUGACGCCUGCCCAGUGCUGGAAGGUUAAAAGGAGGACUUAGCUUCGGCGAAGGUCUUAAUUGAAGCCCCAGUGAACGGCGGCCGUAACUAUAACGGUCCUAAGGUAGCGAAAUUCCUUGUCGGGUAAGUUC
rnacentral:rRNA from 1 species